GUAAGUUCUUAGAGAUCAGCAUCAUCCCACCUUUUAUCUAAGAAGAUCAAGACACUGAGAUCUGAAGAAAUUCAACUGAUCCCAGAGCCCUAAGACUUUAUUGAUUGAUUGCUGGAGAGAGACCUGGAACCUGGUGCUCCAACCAAAUGCUGUAGCUGGGACCAUCCAUCUUGGAGAAAUGGUCCAGGCCAACUGGAAAGUAUCCACAGGUGCCAUGGCCACAUCGAGUCCAAGGAAACAGUGCCAAGCACCCAGAGUCACAGGGGCAGCAACCAAGAAGAUGGUUCCCGAGGUUCACCUUUGCCUGGCCUCGUUUCCCACUGCACCCUGGUUUGUGCCUUCUGCUUACUCGGGAUGCUGCCUUGCCUUUCAGAGGCAAUACCAGGAGCUUUGUGAAGACAUCAGGGAAGGCAAAUGGGGCUCCUUAUUGUCAUUAUCCUCAGGUGAGAGCUCCUGAAAUCUCCUAGCAGCAUGAUUCAUGGCCAGCCAGAAAAAAAUAUGGAUAAAAUGAGAGGGGGAAAAAAAACACCUUAAGAUUGAACAAAUGGAGGAAACCUAGGAAGGGGAACAACAUCUGAAAGAUCAUUAAAAUGAUUAACUAUCUCAUAAAAAGGUGACUUUAAAGAGAAUGCCAUGAGAGAAGUGGGGCCACUGGGAAUACUUUGGAAAGUGACCAAGAAACUAGGUUUGAUAACUGAAGAGAGUGGGUGAUUGUCUUGUUUCCUUUGUAUUGGAUUUGAAGUUACCAGUUUUAUGCAUAUAUGGACAUUUUCCCUCAAUCAAAAGUUUAACUUCUUUGGAAGAAUGGCUGUCUUAUGAUUUCUUUGAAUAAGAUAAAUAACAAGUACUUGGACAUUAAUUAAUUGAACUGAAAUGAAGUUGCCUGUUGACUGGCUAAAUAACAGAUGGAGACAUUGUUGUUCUAAUUAGAAUACAAAUCUCCUGGGAGAAAGCUAGAUUGAGUCAGAAGAAAGCAUAUGUUUCUGAUUCCUCCAUCCUUCCUCCUUAAAUAAGCCACUACUUGGAGGUGGUUUUUAAAACGUGGUCCAAGGACUUCUACAUUAGAAUUGUCUGAUGAUGUUUGUUAGUAGAGAAUGCUACAUCCUACUGCUCAGGUUAGACCCACUGAGUCAGAAUCUGGAAGGUACUUGUGUUUUUCCAAAAUUGAAGUGUAAUUUCACAUACAAUUAAAUAUAUAUAAAGUCUAUCAUUCAAUGGGAUUUGAAAAAUAUGUCUACCCUAUGUAACCACCAUGCCCUCCAGGACUUCUAUUAUUCCAGAAAGUUUCCUUAGGCCCCUUACAGUCAAUCAACCCCACUCUCGAGAAGCAACCACUGUUCUCAUUUCUGUCACACCACAUAUACCAUUUUGAGUCAGGCUUCUUUUCAACAUGUUUUGAUAUUCAUCCAUGUUGUUACAUGUAUUGGUAGUUCCUUUUUAUUGCUAAGUAAUAUUCCAUUUCAAGAAUAAUCUGCAAUUUGUUUAUACAUUCACCUGUUGAUAGACAUUUGAGUUGUGUAUUCCUUUUCUAGGCAGUGUAAUUACUGUUGUUCAGUCUCUAAGUCAUAUCCAAAUCUCCUGGGAGAAAGCUAGAUUGAGUCAGAAGAAAGCAUAUGUUUCUGAUUCCUCCAUCCUUCCUCCUUAAAUAAGCCACUACUUGGAGGUGGUUUUUAAAACGUGGUCCAAGGACUUCUACAUUAGAAUUGUCUGAUGAUGUUUGUUAGUAGAGAAUGCUACAUCCUACUGCUCAGGUUAGACCCACUGAGUCAGAAUCUGGAAGGUACUUGUGUUUUUCCAAAAUUGAAGUGUAAUUUCACAUACAAUUAAAUAUAUAUAAAGUCUAUCAUUCAAUGGGAUUUGAAAAAUAUGUCUACCCUAUGUAACCACCAUGCCCUCCAGGACUUCUAUUAUUCCAGAAAGUUUCCUUAGGCCCCUUACAGUCAAUCAACCCCACUCUCGAGAAGCAACCACUGUUC
ensembl:lncRNA